UACGGAGGGGGCAAGCGUUAUUCGGAAUCAUUGGGCGUAAAGGGCGCGUAGGCGGCCUGGCAAGUCAAAGGUGAAAUCCCUCGGCCCAACCGAGGAACUGCCUUUGAAACUGCAAGGCUUGAGGCCGGGAGAGGGUAGCGGAAUUCCCAGUGUAGCGGUGAAAUGCGUAGAUAUUGGGAGGAACACCAGUGGCGAAGGCGACCACCUGGACUGAUACUGACACUGAGGUGCGAAAGCGUGGGGAGCAAACAGG
rnacentral:rRNA from 1 species